AAGAAAGUAUGCUUGAAAUACUUCCAAUUGAAGGGUUUGAAGUCUCAAGAUUAUCACAUUCUGAUGCAGGGAUUAAUACCUAUUUUUAUAAUGCAUUGUUUCAAAGAACAUAAGCCUUUGCGUGAGGCAGUUCGACAAUUAUCAUUGUUUUUCAAAGUCCUAACUUCUAAGGUUGUUGAUCGUGUUGAUCUUCGUAUAAUGCACGAACGUGUGGUGGAGUCAAUAUGUGUGUUUGAAAUGUAUUUCCCGCCUGCUUUUUUUGUUAGUAUGACUCACGUACACUUGGCAAAAGAGGCACAUAAAUUGGGGUAUGUUCAGUUUAGGUGGAUGUACCCUUACGAGAGGAUGAUGAGGUACUACAAGGUUCUUGGUCGCAAUAAAAAAUUAUGUAGAAGGCUCAAUUACAAAACAAUAUGAAGUCAAUGAAGGAGUGCGCCAUUGCGUCGAGAUACUUCCUGAUGCGAGGAGAAAGUCUUUUAAGUGUCGUGGAAAGAUGUCAAUGCCCAGUGAUGUUUAUGAAGGCCCACACCCACCUGAUUCACAAGGAAAACCAUAUCUUCUCACCACCGUAGAGUAUGAACAAGUUCGUUUGUGGAUAUUGAGACAUUCGGAUGAAAAUACUGAAUGGGAAGCGAAGUACCAGACAUAUAUUUGUAAUUUGAUCCAAAAUCGUAUGGGAAGGAUAAAACCUACAGACUACAUUGAAUGGCUGCAGAAACAACUUGAAGGCACUCCCAUGACAGAUUUUCGUAGGCUGGCAAUUGGUCCUACUUUUGCUACAGUUUCGUACAACUCAUAUUUUGUUAAUGGCUAUGUUUUUUACACAGCCGAUGCAGAAAAAAAUUUAAUUACACAAAAUAGUGGAGUCACCAUGGAUGCUUACACCAGCUUCAGUGCAAGUUCCAGAGAUACGAACUUGGUCGAUGACGAUACUACGUACUACGGUAUUCUAUAACGUAUACUUGAACUGGAUUAUGGAGUUUUUACAGAAAUUGUUUUUUACUGUGAUUGGGUGCGAGUCGAAGACAAAGUACAUGGAUCAUAUGUGGAUCCAGAUACAAAGUUGAGGUUUGUCAACUUCAGAAGGUUUAUGAGAAGCUCAAAAGAAGCCGACGAGCCAUUCAUCCAUGCUUCUCAAGCUAAACAAGUUUUUUACUGCAGAGAUUUGAGAAGGGAACAUUGGAAUUUGGUUUUGGAAUCUCCAAUACGAUCAGAUCCCAACAAGAAUUCACUGGAAGACCCAUUUGUUUUCACUGCAAAUACGAAUGAAGCUCCGUCAAUUUUGACAACUGUUGGAGAUGAUGAGUAUAAAAUGGAGAAACUCGGGGCACGAGAAAUGGGGAUACACGUGAAUGAACUUUCCCAACACCUUAUAAUUCCACUGGUGGAAAUCAUGUAGCCCCCCCUGCGCACAUGUGAGUUGACAACAAACCUUGAACCUUUUUAUAGUUAUCAUCACCCCAGCUAAUAUUAUUAGUUGUUAAGUUACAUAUGUGAU